AGGAAUAUUGGUCAAUGGACGAGAGUCUGAACCAGCCAAGUAGCGUGAGGGAAGACUGCCCUAUGGGUUGUAAACCUCUUUUGUGCGGGGAUAAAGUGUGGGACGUGUCCCAUAUUGCAGGUACCGCACGAAUAAGGACCGGCUAAUUCCGUGCCAGCAGCCGCGGUAAUACGGAAGGUCCGGGCGUUAUCCGGAUUUAUUGGGUUUAAAGGGAGCGUAGAUGGAUGUUUAAGUCAGUUGUGAAAGUUUGCGGCUCAACCGUAAAAUUGCAGUUGAUACUGGAUAUCUUGAGUGCAGUUGAGGCAGGCGGAAUUCGUGGUGUAGCGGUGAAAUGCUUAGAUAUCACGAAGAACUCCGAUUGCGAAGGCAGCCUGCUAAGCUGCAACUGACAUUGAGGCUCGAAAGUGUGGGUAUCAAACAGGAUUAGAUACCCUGGUAGUCCACACGGUAAACGAUGAAUACUCGCUGUUUGCGAUAUACAGCAAGCGGCCAAGCGAAAGCGUUAAGUAUUCCACCUGGGGAGUACGCCGGCAACGGUGAAACUCAAAGGAAUUGACGGGGGCCCGCACAAGCGGAGGAACAUGUGGUUUAAUUCGAUGAUACGCGAGGAACCUUACCCGGGCUUAAAUUGCAGAUGAAUUACGGUGAAAGCCGUAAGCCGCAAGGCAUCUGUGAAGGUGCUGCAUGGUUGUCGUCAGCUCGUGCCGUGAGGUGUCGGCUUAAGUGCCAUAACGAGCGCAACCCUUGCCGAUAGUUACUAACAGGUUAUGCUGAGGACUCUGUCGGGACUGCCAUCGUAAGAUGUGAGGAAGGUGGGGAUGACGUCAAAUCAGCACGGCCCUUACGUCCGGGGCUACACACGUGUUACAAUGGGGGGUACAGAGGGCUGCUACCACGCAAGUGGAUGCCAAUCCCAAAAACCUCUCUCAGUUCGGAUUGAAGUCUGCAACCCGACUUCAUGAAGCUGGAUUCGCUAGUAAUCGCGCAUCAGCCACGGCGCGGUGAAUACGUUCCCG
rnacentral:rRNA from 1 species